GACCUUUUCGUCUAGUGGUUAGGACAUCGGCCUUUCACGCCGGUAACGGGGGUUCGAGUCCCCCAAAGGUCGCCA
rnacentral:tRNA from 1 species